rnacentral:rRNA from 1 species
ACUCCUACGGGAGGCAGCAGUGGGGAAUAUUGCACAAUGGGGAAACCCUGAUGCAGCCAUGCCGCGUGUGUGAAGAAGGCCUUGGUUGUAAAGCACUUUCAGUAGGGAGGAAGGUAGUGUAGUUAACACCUGCACUAUUUGACGUUACCUACAGAAGAAGCACCGGCUAACUCCGUGCCAGCAGCCGCGGUAAUACGGAGGGUGCGAGCGUUAAUCGGAAUUACUGGGCGUAAAGCGCAUGCAGGCGGCCUGUUAAGUCAGAUGUGAAAGCCCGGGGGCUUAACCUCGGAAUUGCAUUUGAAACUGGCAGGCUAGAGUCUUGUAGAGGGGGUAGAAUUUCAGGUGUAGCGGUGAAAUGCGUAGAGAUCUGAAGG